rnacentral:lncRNA from 1 species
AGGUCACACACAUUAGAGUUUACUAUCCGAUCGGAUGGUUGAUCAAUGAUUAAGAAUCAUUCUAGGGUUAAACAAUCAAUACGAUUGACAUUUAACCUAGUGCAAGUGUUGUAGGAGGAUCAAUUAGCAAUUCAAUUACUAAUUGACUUAAUUUGAUUAAGCCAAUAGGUUGAGAUUAAGUUUAAUUAAAUAUGAUUUAAUUAGAUUUAGUUUGGGAUUGAUUGGAUCAAGUCCAAUUAGUUUAUUGGAUAAGCCAAGUGCAAGGAAAAACUAGUCCUAGUUUAAUU